UCCCUGGUGGUCCAGUGGCUACCACGCUGUACUCCGAAUGCAGGGGACCCAGGUUCAAUCCCUGGUCAGGGAA